rnacentral:rRNA from 1 species
CCUACGGGAGGCAGCAGUAGGGAAUCUUCCACAAUGGGCGAAAGCCUGAUGGAGCAACGCCGCGUGAGUGAUGAAGGCCUUCGGGUUGUAAAACUCUGUCAUUCGGGACGAACCGGAGUCUGAGGAAAUGCAGACUCUCUGACGGUACCGGAGGAGGAAGCCCCGGCUAACUACGUGCCAGCAGCCGCGGUAAUACGUAGGGGGCAAGCGUUGUCCGGAUUCACUGGGCGUAAAGCGCGCGCAGGCGGUGAUGUAAGUCUGAGGUGAAAACCCGAAGCUCAACUUCGGGACUGCCUUGGAUACUGCGCCACUUGAGGAUAGGAGAGGCAAGGGGAAUUCCACGUGUAGCGGUGAAAUGCGUAGAGAUGUGGAGGAACACCUGUGGCGAAGGCGCCUUGCUGGCCUAUUUCUGACGCUGAGGCGCGAAAGCGUGGGGAGCAAACAGGAUUAGAUACCCUGGUAGUCCACGCUGUAAACGAUGAGUGCUAGGUGUAGGUGGGCUCAUACCCAUCUGUGCCGAAGCUAACGCAUUAAGCACUCCGCCUGGGGAGUACGGUCGCAAGACUGAAACUCAAAGGAAUUGACGG